AAACGUCUUCAGGGCGGGGUGCAAUUCCCCACCGGCGGUAGGGGUGCAAGCCCGAGCCCGCGAGCGCUUUGUCCAUCUGUCCUCCAGAUAGAUGCGUUGAAGGUCAGCAGAUCCGGUCAGAUGCCGGAGCCGACGGUCAUAGUCCGGAUGAAAGAAGACGGUG
rnacentral:ncRNA from 1 species